UUGGUACGUCAUUGUAUAGCAAAACUUAACGUGCAAUUUUUCAUUGCAAUUUAACUUGAAAUUUGCAUUACAAGUUUUUCGAAGAAGGAUUAAAAAUGAAACUUAUAUUUGUUUUCAUGAUAAUAAUGGCUAUCGGAAUGAUAUCGACUGUUACAAGUGAGGACGCUGACGAUUCAGGAGAUAAUAGUGAUGGAGAUAAUAGUGAUGGAAAUUCUGGAAUUUUCAAUUGUAUACUGUCAUUGCCGAACAAAAUAUGGUCAAUAAUAUGGUAACAUCCAUAAAUAUAAUGUGUUGAACAUAUUAAAAUAAGUGAACUUUAGUAAAUAAAUGUUAAACAGCAUGUCAUAUAAAUUUUUUUGGUCAGUUAAAUAAAGCUGAUUGUCAACAGAAAA